GACGAACGCUGGCGGCGUGCUUAACACAUGCAAGUCGAACGGUGAACCUCUUCGGAGGGGAUCAGUGGCUAACGGGUGAGUAACACGUGGGCAACCUGCCCCCGGCUCUGUGAUAACUCCAAGAAAUUGGGGCUAAUACCCGAUGUUCACCGCUUCCCGCAUGGGUGGUGGUGCAAAGGUUUUCCGGCUUGGGAUGGGCACUCGGCCUAUCAUCUUAUUGGUUGGGUAGUGGCGUACCAAGGCGAGGUCGGGAAGCCCGCCUGGGAAGGUGACCGGCCACAAGGGGACUGAGAGAGGGACCAGACUCGUACGUGAGGCAGCAGGGGGGAAUAUUGCGCAAUGGGCGGAAGCCUGUCGCAGAGACGCCGCGUGGGGGAUGACCGCCUUCGGGUUGUAAACCUCUUUCAGCAGGGACGAAGCGCAAGUGACGGUACCUACAGAAGAAGCACCGGCUAACUACGUG
rnacentral:rRNA from 1 species